rnacentral:rRNA from 1 species
GAUGAACGCUGGCGGCGUGCUUAACACAUGCAAGUCGAACGAAGCACUUUAUUUGAUUUCCUUCGGGACUGAUUAUUUUGUGACUGAGUGGCGGACGGGUGAGUAACGCGUGGGUAACCUGCCUUGUACAGGGGGAUAACAGUUGGAAACGGCUGCUAAUACCGCAUAAGCGCACAGCAUCGCAUGAUGCAGUGUGAAAAACUCCGGCGGUAUAAGAUGGACCCGCGUUGGAUUAGCUAGUUGGUGCGGUAACGGCCCACCAAGGCGACGAUCCAUAGCCGAACUGAGAGGGUGACCGGCCACAUUGGGACUGAGACACGGCCCAAACUCCUACGGGAGGCAGCAGUGGGGAAUAUUGCACAAUGGGCGAAAGCCUGAUGCAGCGACGCCGCGUGAGCGAAGAAGUAUUUCGGUAUGUAAAGCUCUAUCAGCAGGGAAGAUAAUGACGGUACCUGACUAAGAAGCACCGGCUAAAUACGUG